AUAUCAAUAAGCGGAGGAAAAGAAACUAACAAGGAUUCCCCUAGUAACUGCGAGUGAAGCGGGAAAAGCUCAAAUUUGAAAAUCUGGUGCAGCUCUUUGCAACUGUCCGAGUUGUAAUCUUAGAGAAGCGUCUUACCUGCGCUGGACCGUGCACAAGUCUCCUGGAAUGGAGCGUCACAGAGGGUGAGAAUCCCGUCUUUGACACGGACAGCACCUGGCAUGUUAUGUGAUGCGCUCUCGAAAGAGUCGAGUUGUUUGGGAAUGCAGCUCAAAAUGGGUGGUGAAACUGCCAUCUAAAGCUAAAUAUUGGCGAGAGACCGAUAGCGAACAAGUACCGUGAGGGAAAGAUGAAAAGCAACUUUGGAAAGAGAGUGAAACAGUAC
rnacentral:rRNA from 1 species